rnacentral:rRNA from 1 species
GACGAACGCUGGCGGCGUGCCUAAUACAUGCAAGUCGAACGAACUCUGGUAUUGAUUGGUGCUUGCAUCAUGAUUUACAUUUGAGUGAGUGGCGAACUGGUGAGUAACACGUGGGAAACCUGCCCAGAAGCGGGGGAUAACACCUGGAAACAGAUGCUAAUACCGCAUAACAACUUGGACCGCAUGGUCCGAGYUURAAAGAUGGCUUCGGCUAUCACUUUUGGAUGGUCCCGCGGCGUAUUAGCUAGAUGGUGRGGUAACGGCUCACCAUGGCAAUGAUACGUAGCCGACCUGAGAGGGUAAUCGGCCACAUUGGGACUGAGACACGGCCCAAACUCCUACGGGAGGCAGCAGUAGGGAAUCUUCCACAAUGGACGAAAGUCUGAUGGAGCAACGCCGCGUGAGUGAAGAAGGGUUUCGGCUCGUAAAACUCUGUUGUUAAAGAAGAACAUAUCUGAGAGUAACUGUUCAGGUAUUGACGGUAUUUAACCAGAAAGCCACGGCUAACUACGUGCCAGCAGCCGCGGUAAUACGUAGGUGGCAAGCGUUGUCCGGAUUUAUUGGGCGUAAAGCGAGCGCAGGCGGUUUUUUAAGUCUGAUGUGAAAGCCUUCGGCUCAACCGAAGAAGUGCAUCGGAAACUGGGAAACUUGAGUGCAGAAGAGGACAGUGGAACUCCAUGUGUAGCGGUGAAAUGCGUAGAUAUAUGGAAGAACACCAGUGGCGAAGGCGGCUGUCUGGUCUGUAACUGACGCUGAGGCUCGAAAGUAUGGGUAGCAAACAGGAUUAGAUACCCUGGUAGUCCAUACCGUAAACGAUGAAUGCUAAGUGUUGGAGGGUUUCCGCCCUUCAGUGCUGCAGCUAACGCAUUAAGCAUUCCGCCUGGGGAGUACGGCCGCAAGGCUGAAACUCAAAGGAAUUGACGGGGGCCCGCACAAGCGGUGGAGCAUGUGGUUUAAUUCGAAGCUACGCGAAGAACCUUACCAGGUCUUGACAUACUAUGCAAAUCUAAGAGAUUAGACGUUCCCUUCGGGGACAUGGAUACAGGUGGUGCAUGGUUGUCGUCAGCUCGUGUCGUGAGAUGUUGGGUUAAGUCCCGCAACGAGCGCAACCCUUAUUAUCAUUGCCAGCAUUAAGUUGGGCACUCUGGUGAGACUGCCGGUGACAAACCGGAGGAAGGUGGGGAUGACGUCAAAUCAUCAUGCCCCUUAUGACCUGGGCUACACACGUGCUACAAUGGAUGGUACAACGAGUUGCGAACUCGCGAGAGUAAGCUAAUCUCUUAAAGCCAUUCUCAGUUCGGAUUGUAGGCUGCAACUCGCCUACAUGAAGUCGGAAUCGCUAGUAAUCGCGGAUCAGCAUGCCGCGGUGAAUACGUUCCCGGGCCUUGUACACACCGCCCGUCACACCAUGAGAGUUUGUAACACCCAAAGUCGGUGGGGUAACCUUUUAGGAACCAGCCGCCUAAGGUGGGACAGAUGAUUAGGGUGAAGUCGUAACAAGGUAGCCGUAGGAGAACCUGC